ACAUCUUAUCAGGGCCAUUUUCUUUAUUAGUUUUAUUGCAAAUUGUCUUGAGUCUAUUGACUCCUAGAGCAUGAAGCCACAUCCAGCUAAGUCUUAGAAGCUGAAAACGAAAGGAGAUGCAGCUGUUUCUCUCUGGAGCAUUCAUGGGGUAAUAAUAGUAACAAUAAGGGGAAGGAAAAUAGAGCAGUUUCAUUGUGACAUUUUUUAGAAAGUAAGGAUUCCAUUGAAUAUAAAAUGGUAAUUGAUUUUAGGCACUUGGAUGGACUAAUGUUUGAUUUUAAUAGAGUCAUUUUCUGAGAAGUGCAGAAAAAGCUGUGUCAAGAGGGAGCAACCCUCACUUUGUAUAGAGAGGUGCUGCUGAGUAGAAGUGCUGAAGUCCUUUAUUUAAAUAGGAAUAAUUAUAUUACACAGGAAACUUGGAUUUGAAAGCAGUUCCUCUGAUACAUUCCUCUUCAGGAGUAAUUAUCUGCUGCAUUCACCAAAGCCCAAAGGCUGUUCUCAUAUUGCAUUGGUUCAUCUGCAUUAUGGCUAAAAUUAAAACAAAGGGAGACAAAUAAGAAAGGAUGUAAAACUGCCAAAUGCCACGUCUAAAACAAAGUCCUUUCCACCAAGAUGGAAGGUAAAAUGCCUUUUAGAGUGAACAUCUGAUGUAGAUGUAGGUAAAAUCCAAAUAAGAGAAUAAUAAUGCUGCACUUGGCUUCUCACCAUGUGAUUUCCCCUCACUGCUUUGCACCUUCUGCUUUUCAUGGGGUUUCCAUCAUAUCCAAGAAGCUCUCAUCAAAACCUUUCCUGUGGACAGCAUUCACCAGGAAAGACUGGAAGACUUCUCUGGCCAAAGCAGAGAGUUGCUUCUGCUGCUGAGGUGGAGGCUCAUUUGCAGUCAGCCUGCUUCAUUUGUCUUCUUCCUGACCAUAAAAUGUUGCACAGAGCAGAUGAGACAUUGCCUUCAUGGAAGUCAGAUCUUCUCUAGGAAGGCUAACAUCACUUUACCUUCCAUGCAAAACAAAUCCAUAAUUAAAUGAUGCUUUAAAUGCUCAGACUGUUGUGGUUUCCUUCUUAUGAAAAUGAAGUUCAUUUGGUCGAUUCCACGGGAACUGACUCACAAAGGCUUCCAUAACCUUGCAAGGAACUUCUCUGUAUGGUCAAGAGCAGCAUGGCCCUUAAUUUGGAUCCAUGAAUCUCCUAAGGAAGGCCAGCAGAAUCAGGUCCUUGGCAAGUGGAGGGGAAGGAGCCAACAGGACAGCAUUUCUACUGGGUCUGCAACACCUUGUCAAUCUGUCCAGGAGCAACACAAGGAAAGAUACUGGGGACAUAGCCCUUUGGCUUCUUCUGAGCAAAUCUGCUUGUUUGCUUUUCCAUCUGACCUCUCAGAACCUGAGGGAACACAUCUCAGGUGGAAGUGCCUGAGCAUGGUCCCAGAGUGAGAGAAAAUCCAGAGUGACCCAACAGCUGUGCAAAUUCCUCUCUCAGCACAUCAGGGUGGGAACCACUCCUGCAGAGGAUUCAAAGCUACACACCCAGGGCUGCAAUAGAUUUGUCUACCCUGGGAGUUAGGUCCUACAGGAGGAGGGGAAACCCAACCAAAAUGAAAACUGCCAUUAACGUAAACUGCAGAAGAAGAGGAGAAAGUCAUCAUCUUUCCUAGCCUACCUAAGACAAUAAUCCUUGGGGUUCUUCUUAUCAGUAUUCUUCCUUAGGGAAAUAUAACUCCCAGCUGCCUUGUCCUGCUUGUGAUUUUUUGACAGCUUCCAUGCUAACAAAUUAGUCACUUCCACACCUCAUGGAGAAGGCUACAUUAACACACCUGAAUGUUUGGAACCUGCGAUGGAUCUUCCUUUUGAACUUAGGAGUUAAUAAUAGACUUUUGUAAGUAGUCCAGUGCUACGUUGAUUCUAACUCCAGCUGGGUUAAUUACACAAUAAUUAGGUACAAACAUCGCAACACAAAACACAGCUACAUCAUUAUUUGCAACAAAUGUUAACUCUAAAUAAGUGCAACCUGUCCCACAAACACUUGCUAUAAACGACUUAAAAAUAAAAGUAAAAUUUGAUGGGGUAAACACAGAAAUUAAAAAAAAAAAUUCUCUGUGAGAAUUUUUUUUGUUAAAAAAAAAUAAAAUAAAAAUCUCAGCACUCAUUUAGAGUUCAGGAUCUUGUGAA